AAAAAGCUCGUAGUUGGAUUUGUGGAGAGCUCCUCCGUUCGCUUAGCGUUCGUGGUUGGAGCUUCUCCGUCCAUCCUUGGGUGGAUCCUGUGUGGCAUUCAGUUGUCGUGCAGGGGAUGCCCAUCGUUUACUGUGAAAAAAUUAGAGUGUUCAAAGCAGGCUUACGCCGUUGAAUAUAUUAGCAUGGAAUAAUGAGAUAGGACCUGGGUACUAUUUUGUUGGUUUGCGCACCGAGGUAAUGAUUAAUAGGGACAGUUGGGGGUAUUCGUAUUCCAUUGUCAGAGGUGAAAUUCUUGGAUUUUUGGAAGACGAACUACUGCGAAAGCAUUUACCAAGGAUGUUUUCAUUAAUCAAGAACGAAAGUUAG
rnacentral:rRNA from 1 species